AUUUCCACUGCUGGUCCAAGGACACGGGAUUUGGAAAUCCUGGAGAAUUACCUUUGUAAGAAGCUGGGAAUAAUUUCUUUAAAUUUUAAAUUUCAUCUCUUAGUUUUCCAUUUUGUUGCAUUUCUGAGGCAAAUGGAGAAUCC
rnacentral:other from 17 species